rnacentral:rRNA from 1 species
AACAAGGUCUCCGUUGGUGAACCAGCGGAGGGAUCAUUAUCGAGUUAUUCAACUCCCAAACCCUAUGUGAACUUACCACUUGUUGCUUCGGCGCGCGCUUCGGCGCCGCCGAGGACACUUAAACUCUUUGUUUUUAUAAGCAUUUCUGAGUGGCCGAAAGGCAAAAAUACAAAUGAAUCAAAACUUUCAACAACGGAUCUCUUGGUUCUGGCAUCGAUGAAGAACGCAGCGAAAUGCGAUAAGUAAUGUGAAUUGCAGAAUUCAGUGAAUCAUCGAAUCUUUGAACGCACAUUGCGCCCGCCAGCAUUCUGGCGGGCAUGCCUGUUCGAGCGUCAUUUCAACCCUCGAGCCCGACUCUUUUGAGGACGGCUCGGCGUUGGGGGACGGCAGACUCCCCCCGGCAUCUCGCCGGGGACGCCGCCCCCGAAAUCUAGUGGCGGCCCUCCGAGGCGACCUCUGCGUAGUAACUUGUUCUCGCACCGGAAGGCUCAGAGCGGCCACGCCGUAAAACCCAACUUUUUUCAGGUUGACCUCGAAUCAGGUAGGACUACCCGCUGAACUUAAGCAUAUCAAUA